rnacentral:rRNA from 1 species
GCGUGGGGAGCGAACAGGAUUAGAUACCCUGGUAGUCCACGCCGUAAACGGUGGAUGCUGGAUGUGGGGCCCGUUCCACGGGUUCCGUGUCGGAGCUAACGCGUUAAGCAUCCCGCCUGGGGAGUACGGCCGCAAGGCUAAAACUCAAAGAAAUUGACGGGGGCCCGCACAAGCGGCGGAGCAUGCGGAUUAAUUCGAUGCAACGCGAAGAACCUUACCUGGGCUUGACAUGUUCCCGACGACCCCAGAGAUGGGGUUUCCCUUCGGGGCGGGUUCACAGGUGGUGCAUGGUCGUCGUCAGCUCGUGUCGUGAGAUGUUGGGUUAAGUCCCGCAACGAGCGCAACCCUCGCCCCGUGUUGCCAGCGGAUUGUGCCGGGAACUCACGGGGGACCGCCGGGGUUAACUCGGAGGAAGGUGGGGAUGACGUCAGAUCAUCAUGCCCCUUACGUCCAGGGCUUCACGCAUGCUACAAUGGCCGGUACAACGGGAUGCGACAGCGCGAGCUGGAGCGGAUCCCUGAAAACCGGUCUCAGUUCGGAUCGCAGUCUGCAACUCGACUGCGUGAAGGCGGAGUCGCUAGUAAUCGCGAAUCAGCAACGUCGCGGUGAAUGCGUUCCCGGGCCUUGUACACACCGCCCGUCAAGUCAUGAAAGUGGGCAGCACCCGAAGCCGGUGG